CCUACGGGAGGCUGCAGUGAGGAAUAUUGGUCAAUGGACGAGAGUCUGAACCAGCCAAGUAGCGUGAAGGAUGACUGCCCUAUGGGUUGUAAACUUCUUUUAUAUGGGAAUAAAAUGUUCCACGUGUGGGAUUUUGUAUGUACCAUAUGAAUAAGGAUCGGCUAACUCCGUGCCAGCAGCCGCGGUAAUACGGAGGAUCCGAGCGUUAUCCGGAUUUAUUGGGUUUAAAGGGAGCGUAGGUGGAUUGUUAAGUCAGGUGUGAAAGUUUGCGGCUCAACCGUAGAAUUGAAGUUGAAACUGGCAGUCUUGAGUACAGUAGAGGUGGGCGGAAUGCGUGGUGUAGCGGUGAAAUGCUUAGAUAUCACGAAGAACUCCGAUUGCGAAGGCAGUUCACUGGACUGCAACUGACACUGAGGCUCGAAAGUGUGGGUAUCAAACAGGAUUAGAUACCCCAGUAGUC
rnacentral:rRNA from 1 species